CCCCCCUCCAAACUCUUGGAGCGCCCCUGGGGCCGGCGCACAAGCGGGUUUGGGCCGGGGAUCGGCUUUUCCUAACGGGAUUAAGCGGCUCUCGGUGACUUUCCCCGUGGGAGCAAACUACUGCACUGCCAUCUCCUUGUGAGUGGGACUGGGAGCACAGCUGUACAUCGAGCCCAAAGCGUCUCACAGAGAGUAGACAGAGACAUUCAAAAAUCAUUGUUCCUCAGAAGGUAGUAAGCUCUGGUCGAUUGCAUCCUGCCUGCCUUGCUAUUUUGCCUGCACAGGGCUGGACUGAGUAUUCUAGGCUGGGAGGUAGUGUUGGUAAGAACUGCAUACAGUACAAACUGAAUAUAAGUGAUGUUCUUGUUACACAUGUAAGUUUUUGAGGCUUUUAUGCAGAGAGAAAGAUGGAAAAGAUUUUCCAUUUCCCCUGCUUCUACAAAAUUUGAUUCCACCUGCUUGUCCUUCAGAUUUUACCCAUCAUUUGAUGCUGUCUUUCAUUUCUAAAACUUUCUUCAGUUAAGUCAACUGGAACUUAAAAAGGCACUGAGGCCCUUCCUUAGCACAGACUGGUUUUCUGCAGAGCUUA